AUUGAACGCUGGCGGAAUGCUUUACACAUGCAAGUCGAGCGGCAGCACGGGGGCAACCCUGGUGGCGAGCGGCGAACGGGUGAGUAAUACAUCGGAACAUGCCCAGUCGUGGGGGAUAACACUUCGAAAGAAGUGCUAAUACCGCAUACGUCCUGAGGGAGAAAGCGGGGGAUCUUCGGACCUCGCGAUUGGAGUGGCCGAUGUCAGAUUAGCUAGUUGGUGGGGUAAAGGCCUACCAAGGCAACGAUCUGUAGCUGGUCUGAGAGGAUGAUCAGCCACACUGGGACUGAGACACGGCCCAGACUCCUACGGGAGGCAGCAGUGGGGAAUUUUGGACAAUGGGGGCAACCCUGAUCCAGCCAUUCCGCGUGAGUGAAGAAGGCCUUCGGGUUGUAAAGCUCUUUCGGCAGGAACGAAACGGCGAGCUCUAACAUAGCUUGCUAAUGACGGUACCUGAAGAAGAAGCACCGGCUAACUACGUGCCAGCCGCCGCAGUAAGAC
rnacentral:rRNA from 1 species